UAGAGGGAAAAUCUCCGCAGCGGGGCAGCGGAGCGAGCGGCGGAGGUUGCGCGGGCGCGGCUGGAGCGGUAGCGGCCCCGACCUGCGCGGGCUGCGCUUCUCCCGGCUUUGCUUUUUUUUUUCUGUUUGUUUUUUUUCCUGUAGCUUAGAUGAAAAUGGCUCCCAGUGACUUGGCGAACGUUUGGAAGGCAGACAUGGCAGGGCUGUGCCGGAGGAAGGGGACGUGCGACGCCCAUCACCGCAGCCUCUGCUCGCAGAACGGGCAGAAAUCGGGCAAAACCGGGCAGAAACCGCCUGGCAGCGAACUGGGCGAGUGAAAAUGGUGCCGCGGACAGGCGGACGCUGCGGCGGACACUGCGCUCCCGCUUAGGGAUUUAUUUUCUUUUCUUUUUUUAAUUGUCAUGCCACAGAUCUGCAACUGUACGUGCAAAUAAAAGCGAGAGCUCACGGAUACCGCUUUCCUUACCAGCGAGGACUGAGUAGUUAAUCCAAUAAGUAUCUGUAUUGUUUGGGGAGGGGGGUGGUGGGGGGGGUGGUGGGGAGGCAGUUAAUCACGUAUUGCAAUGUAUGGCUAAUAUAUAUUAAUAUUAAAGUGACGUGGAGAAGGAGUCUCGGCGAGGGGGCUCCUUUUGGGGAGAGGACAAAGAAGAAACUGGAAACAAUCUUUUAAAAUAUUUUCCAUUCAUAAAAAUGGCAGAGGGCUUAUACAGCAGUCUAUUUCUGCAUCUGACUGAACAGCUAAUACGUUAUUGCCAGCUUCAAAAGAUAAUUGUAGUGUCGGUAGAGACCUAAUAAUACAGUAGCACAUGUAAUUUUAAACAACACCUCAUUGUUUAUUGGGAUGUAACUUUCCCAAAGUUUAUUUGUAGCAUUAAGAGAUUUUUAAGUGCAGAACAAAUUGCAAAUGAGCAGCUGUGGGGUGAUGCACGUUUUGUGUGGCUACAAGAGUUUCUAUAUUUAGUGACAAUCUGAAUCUGAAGAGGAUUUAAAAAAAAAAACAGAAUAUCUGUAAGGAAAUGCUUAUUUCCUCCUGGAGGAGGAGGGAGCUGGGCUGGGGGAUCGCCAGGCUCAGCUUUUUCAUUUUCUGAAGGAGGGAUAAAUAGUCUGUGUGCGUUUCCCUGCGACCGUACGUACACCUGCUCCGUAGGCUCAGCAAUAACCUUUUCACCGAAAAAGUGAGCGAAAGGGUCGGGCAUACGUACGUGGGGCGGUGUCGUGAUUUAUGUGUUUUUCCAGGAAUCCAAAUAAAAACGUAGCUGAGCGUGUCUCUUUGUAAGGGCCACCUGCGCAUCACGCCCGGCUGUGCCGGGGGUUUACCCUAUGGAAAUCAGCCCAGUAUAGACCUUAACACAACAGUGGGGUGAGCAGAGGAUGUUCUCACCUUCUCCCUGCUGCUAAGAGAGGAGAGCAGGGAUUGUGACAGGCAGCCCAAAUGGAUUUCAUAUAUUUUUUUUU